UGGGUAUGCUCUGACAUUUAUAUCUAUCCUUUGAAAAUUUGAAGAGAGGGCACAUCGAGUAAAAGAAAUAAAAGGAAAAUCAAUUUAGGAAAGUCAACAUGUGAGGAGCCUGAGUAUUAUAGGCCAUCCACCACCGGACCUCUUAAGGAAAUUAGAGUUGAUAGUAUGGCCAUUAGGGAGCUCAUGUCAAGUCUACCAUAGGGGUGUGAAAGCUACCGUUGGUAGGAUUAAGAGAGGC
rnacentral:lncRNA from 1 species